rnacentral:tRNA from 1 species
GGGAAUGUGGCUUAGUGGUAGAGCACUUGCCUAGCAUGCAUGAAGCCUUGGGUUCGAUUCCUUAGUACCA